CAAAGAGAAGGAGAAGAAGAAGGAGAAAGAAGAGGAAGGAAGGGAGGAAGAGAGAGAGAGAGAGAUCAAACCUUGAUGGUUUUGGAUGAUUCAAAAGCCUAAAUCGCUUAGAAUCUCGCCCUCUUUCAUAAUCCUAGCUUUGUUUUGAGUGGGGAGCAUUGUGGAGAGAGAUAUUAACUCUCAAAAAUUCGGCCCUUUGGUGAAAAUUGGGGUUUUGAGAGUUUCUACCUCCAUUGAAGCUUGAGGAGCCAUCAAUCCUUGGUUGUGUGACCAUUGGUGGAUUGAGACAUUUGGACCAACCGUGAGUGAUCAACCAUUGGAGCAAGCUAUGGAGCUUGAAUAGCUCAUUGGAAUUGGUGUAUGUUUGUAAAAGUUGAUUGCUGAAACUGUUGGUGAAGAACAAAGGUCGACUGAAGCAUUGAGGUACGAGGACUUAAGGGCUCGUAAGAGAUGAUGCUGUUUUCGCUGCUGGAUGAGGCUUUUUUAUAUCUAAGGUUGUAAUAGAUGUACACUUGUAGAUAUAUUUGUAAUUAGAAUUUGAUGUUCACCUAUUUUGUCAUCUGUAAGCAGGUGACAAAAUUAGGUGAUCUAGUGUGUACUUUUGUAAGUCAAUAUGUAUUGGCGCUUAUGUUAGAAUAAUGUACCGCCGAAUCUUAAUGCAUGUGAUAUAUAUGUAAGAUAUGCAACAUCCAUUGUUAUUUGCAAAUAACCUUACUAACGUAUACGUUUAGUUAUGUCUAAAUACUUUCUGCAGCAAAGAGAGGGGCUUUGAAUUGGGGAGGUUUGUUGGCAGAAAGUUUUCAAUGGAAGGAGUGUCGCACAAGAUCAGGCGGCAGAUUGAGGAACUGGAGAGUGUUUUUAACCUAAGGAAGUGAAGAUGAAAGAAAUUGUAACAAUCCAAGUUGGUGAUUUUGCAAACUUCGUAGGCUCUCACUUCUGAGACUUUCAGGAUGAGUUGCUUGGUUUGGCUUCGGAUCCUCAUGCUGAUUCUGUCUUCAAGAAAGGAAACGUUUAUGUAUUUGGACGACAUCAUGCUUUAGGCCAUAAUUGUGCAUAUUGACCCUGUUUCAAGUACGAAUGGUAGCUCCCCAAGGGAAGCCCGGUAAGCUCUUGACAAUUGCUUUUGAUGCAACUGAGUUGGAUAGAGCCAAUAAGAAAAAUAAGCCCCAAAAGAUUUUGAUGCACUUGCUGUGAGUAGCCAAGUGGAAGUAGUUUUGGCACUGAAAAUCUGGCAGCAUUGCUGAUGCCAUAUUUCAAUUAUUAUUUAACUUCACUAUCUCACGUCUAUUUUGCUAAGGUUCCUUUCGAUGAAAAAUAAGCCACUUCACAUAUAGCUAACCUGCUUGACUGUUUCAGCAUAGCAAUCUGUGAUCUUUCCAACUUGGUCAAACCUGAAGACAUUAUAACUUCAGAAAAUUUAACUACUCCCCUUGCAAUUGUUUCCAAGUAUUCGCAGAAGGAUUGGCUCUGAAGCUAUGAAACAUUGACAAGCUAUGUGGUCCCCAAGUCUUCUAGGAAGUUGUAUGAGGAUACUGACUAUGCACCGUAUAUUGUUACACUCUUCAGUCGUGUUGCAGACAAUUUUAGAACUAGUGCACGGGAAAAAGGAUUCCAACUGCAGAUAAAAUAAUGCCAAAGAAGCUUCUUGUUGAUUCUUCAACUGAGGGACUCAGUAAUUCCCAUUCUAAUCGUACUUUCGUUGCAUGUAGUGUUAAAGUAGGUGAUAUGCAUCAUGAGUAUCUGACUACUGCUUAGGAUGUUCCUUAUGCUAAUGGUGGCUAUAAUGGGUACUACUAUCCAGGGAAUUAUAAAUCCAUUUGUAGAGCAGGAUAUAUUCGAAGUUUCAGAAGUCAUCACCCACAACCUCCUUUUCCACAGCAUUCAUUUACUAAGUUAUACGAGGGAGCCAUGAUUGUAAAGCAGAAUUUACUUUCAACAGUGACUACUAACAACACUUCUAAGGAUGAGAGUGAACAAGAAGAAACGUGGUCUAGGAUCCAAAUGAAGAAGAAGGCCAACAUAGCUCAAUGCAAAGAAAAAAUAGAGGAAAAAGAAGAAACACUGAAAAGUGAGCCAGGGGACAAAAGCAGAAAAAAGAGAAAAAUACUCAGUUGCCGCCUCUUUCUCCCAUUACCAGAAAUGGACAAACACUAGAAAAAGCACACUACACUCCAAGAAAAAGGGAAUUUACCGGCUUUAUAUGGUGGCGGCACACCAAAUUAAAAGAAAAAGCAAGGGAAAAGUAGGCUAACUCGUACAAUAAGGGCUGAGCUGACACACAGCAUUGUCCCCCAUCGAGAGCAAAAGACAAUCCUGGCCAUUAGAUCAAGAUCAAGCGCCAAGACAAAACCUUGGGAGGACCUCAUGCCUAUAAAUAGGAGGGAAGACAUAAACCUUAGAAGUCUUUGGCAAAUCCAUCGUCUUCCUCAAUGUGUUCAGCCAUUUUCAUUUUCUUAGUUUAGGUUUUGUGAUUCCAGUUAGCUUUUCUUUUUAUAAUAUUUCUUAGUAUGAGCUAAAUUUUCCAAGUAGACAGGGGGAAGUAGAAGUACCUCUCUUAGAUUGAACUUAUUAUGCAGGCUCAUUUCUUUAAUGGAAUUUAUGAUGU